rnacentral:lncRNA from 1 species
AUCUCCAUACAUUUUUAUCAAAAAUUUUAUAAACUUUUAUAAAAAAUUUUAUGAUAAAAUUUUACCCUCUAUAAGUAUAAAAAUCUCAAUUUUUGCCAACAGAAUAUUAAUAUUUGUCUUUGCAGACGUGUGAUCAAAAUUCCAACCAACUGUACUAAAUAGUAAUAAUACUUACUUUUUUCAACAUAAGUAACAUUGUAUAAUGCCUCAUCGUUAGAAUUUUUAUAAUUUGGUUGAACAAUAAAGUUUAAUGUAAAAAUUAUUUAAAAUUAUUUAAAUUAAUAUUUGGAUAUAAAAAGUGAAAAAAAAAAUGGCCAAUAGGUGG